UUAUAUAUAGGAGUAUAGGCUUCAGAGAGACCUGAGUCUGAUUCACCCUGGCUUCAUCCCUCACUGAGAGCUCUGAGGUAAGUAAUUUAUUUCUUUCCUCCUGUUCUUGUCUACAACACAGAAAUCAUAAUAAUAUUGACCUAAAAGACGUCCAGAGAAUUAAAGGAGAUCUGCUGUAAAGGAAUCUUGGGUCUUGGUGAGUCUUCUAUAAAUGCUAACUUAGACACUCUUCUUUUGUAACUGGUUCAACCCAUUCUCUUCCUAUCUGCUUUGGUAGACCAUGCAUGUGAGCAAAGGUGACUUCUCCAGGGAGUUCUCACUUGGAACCCAUGGAUCCAGGAACUCAUUGGUAAACUAGCUAUUUGUAUUUUAAAUGUGGUUGGGGUUAGCUCUCCAACCAGGUAGAGAAACAAAUGGAGGCUGCGUAUAUUGACUGACUGUUAAUGACAGGUAUUUGACUAGAAUGGUCUGUUAGGUGUGGCAAUAAAGUUCAUUUUGAAAGGCACAACUUAUUAUAAUAUUUCCUCAGGUAAGUCUGGUUUCCUCGUGAAGAAAAAAUUGCCCAUGUAUAAAUAUUUAAAACAGGCACAUUUGUGAGCAAAGAAACUCUCUCUGAAAGACAUUUCUUCUGUCAAAUUAAGGAUAAUAAGUAUUAUUUGAAUCAUUUAAUACAUUUUAAAACAAAUUGACUCUUAAAAUACAUAACAAAUGAAAAUUAUUUAAAAUUUAAAGAUAACACAGAACUGUUGAUUGCACAGAAUUGUAUUAAUUUUUGAAAUUCUCUGUUUCCAGUGUAUACAAAAUUAGACCAAAAAAUAUAAAAUGAUCCUCCCAUUUUGUCCUCUUCCACCUCAUGUGCAUUCAUCAUUUGACAUUAACAAUGAUCUAAUCAUGGUGUUCUCAUUCCAUGUUGCCUCCUUUCCCUACUCCUGCAUUAUUUUUAAUUGAAUGCCAGGUGUUAUAUCCUAACUGGAUGCAUGAUUUUUUGAAUUUCAGGAAAAUAUAACAUUGCGAUUUUUUUUGGACAUAAAAGCCACCUUAUGUCAUUCACCCUGUCUUUGCCAAAUAAGGAUAUACUUUAAAAGCUUAUGUUUUAAAGAUUGACCAUAUGUUACUUGGUAGUAACUUUCUCAAAUAUAUUGUGAAUGGUUUUUUAAAAAUCAGGAUACCAUAAUUGAAAAGCUUUAGAAACAAUUUACAGAUAAAAC
rnacentral:lncRNA from 1 species